UACGGAGGGUGCGAGCGUUGUUCGGAAUUACUGGGCGUAAAGGGCUCGUAGGCGGCCAACUAAGUCAGACGUGAAAUCCCCAGGCUCAACCUGGGAACUGCGUCUGAUACUGGAUGGCUUGAAUCCGGGAGAGGGAUGCAGAAUUCCAGGUGUAGCGGUGAAAUGCGUAGAUAUCUGGAGGAAUACCGGUGGCGAAGGCGGCAUCCUGGACCGGCAUUGACGCUGAGGAGCGAAAGCCAGGGGAGCAAACGGG
rnacentral:rRNA from 1 species